CAAUGGCAUUGCCGGGUAGCUAUGUUCGGACGGGAUAACCGCUGAAAGCAUCUAAGCGGGAAGCCCCCCAUAAGAUUAGGUCUCACUAGUGACUCGAUCACUCUGUAGGGCCGUUGAAGACUACAACGUUGAUAGGCUGGGUGUGGAAGUGCAGUAAUGCAUGAAGCUAACCAGUACUAAUUGCCCGUGCGACUUGACCAU
rnacentral:rRNA from 1 species